rnacentral:rRNA from 1 species
GAUGAACGCUAGCUACAGGCUUAACACAUGCAAGUCGAGGGGAAACGAUAUUGGAAGCUUGCUUCCGAUAGGCGUCGACCGGCGCACGGGUGAGUAACGCGUAUCCAACCUGCCCAUCACUUGGGGAUAACCUUGCGAAAGUAAGACUAAUACCCAAUGACGUCUCUAGAAGACAUCUGAAAGAGAUUAAAGAUUUAUCGGUGAUGGAUGGGGAUGCGUCUGAUUAGCUUGUUGGCGGGUAACGGCCCACCAAGGCGACGAUCAGUAGGGGUUCUGAGAGGAAGGUCCCCCCACAUUGGAACUGAGACACGGUCCAAAACUCCUACGGGAGGCAGCAGUGAGGAAUAUUGGUCAAUGGACGAGAGUCUGACCAGCCAAGUAGCGUGCAGGAAGACGGCCCUAUGGGUUGUAAACUGCUUUUAUAAGGGAAUAAAGUGAGUCUCGUGAGACUUUUUGCAUGUACCUUAUGAAUAAGGACGGCUAAUUCCGUGCCAGCAGCCGACGG